rnacentral:rRNA from 1 species
GAUGAACGCUGGCGGCGUGCCUAAUACAUGCAAGUCGAGCGAAUGGAUUAAGAGCUUGCUCUUAUGAAGUUAGCGGCGGACGGGUGAGUAACACGUGGGUAACCUGCCCAUAAGACUGGGAUAACUCCGGGAAACCGGGGCUAAUACCGGAUAACAUUUUGAACCGCAUGGUUCGAAAUUGAAAGGCGGCUUCGGCUGUCACUUAUGGAUGGACCCGCGUCGCAUUAGCUAGUUGGUGAGGUAACGGCUCACCAAGGCAACGACGCGUAGCCGACCUGAGAGGGUGAUCGGCCACACUGGGACUGGGACACGGCCCAGACUCCUACGGGAGGCAGCAGGAGGGAAUCUUCCGCAAUGGACGAAAGUCUGACGGAGCAACGCCGCGUGAGUGAUGAAGGCUUUCGGGUCGUAAAACUCUGUUGUUAGGGAAGAACAAGUGCUAGUUGAAUAAGCUGGCACCUUGACGGUACCUAACCAGAAAACCACGGCUAACUACGUGCCAGCCGCCGCCGUAA